ensembl:lncRNA
UAUGUAGAUGCAAAUGUCUAUCUAAUGAAAGGGAAUACUUUAUUAAUAUCAACAUACAUCUGAGGAGAAAUGAAAUUGUCUCUGACAUGUUUGUUGGCUGUACUUUUCAAACCAAUAUUUAUGGAACGUUUAUGUCUCAUAAGAGAAGCCGACACACACCUCAUAACCUAACUGAUUUUAUUCCUGGUAUUGUGUUAACGACUACAUUAGCAUCACCAUCAUUACAUGAUUCUUCAGCUGAUUGCCAGGAUGAGGAGUUUGUGGAAGAGGAAGUUUCUGUUGCACCCCUAGAUAAAUGCAGAAUUUAAGCGCAUUACCACCAUGCCCCUGCAAUCCAGAUUUCUGACACAGCUGGAUGUAAGAUCUGACAAACUUCUAAAGCUGUUCGAAAAACGAGGAGGACAGAUAGAUUACGUUGAUGCAGGGCGGGAAUGUGUUCUCAAGUGGCUGUGUGUGUACCUCAACGAAGACCCAGCAAAUUUUGUCAGGGAGUUCGUGGAAGGUGGAGGCCUCCCGUGGGAGGAAGAGAGUUUGUUACUCAGCUGUUUAGUCAUAAAACGAGCGUUUUCUGGUUACGAUCUGCGAAUAAUUCAGCACUGAAAAGAAACAAGGGUGAGAUGUUGUGCGCACAACACUCUCCGGCGGAUCAAUUCGCACGCCCGAACACUUCCGUAAUUGCACAUUAAGAAUCAACCGAGAGAGCGAAGAAAAAUAAUUAGAGCAAUUCCCCUGGAAGAACAAAACAUUCUAUCCGAGAGAGGGCCCUCGUAUAGACAUCUGGGGAACAGGUGUAGGUCCUCACAUCGCCCUCCGCGUUCCCCCUAAUUUCCUCCUUCAAUUCCCCACAAAAAGUGAGAGUUACAUUAAGUGGUUGUUGGUUUGCAUCCCUGAACCCGGGGGGCGUUGGAGGAGCCUGGAGAGGAUUCUGGGGGUCAAUCGACCAGCCUCGUGUCUCUCUGUCCGGGUCUCCCCGGGAGAGGGGCGCACGCAUACGGCGGGGGCCAGGUACGAAGGAAGGGAGAGGGCGAGCAGGAGGACAACUGUUAAACGUCUGAGCCAAAGACUGAGCUGGUCUCCGGCCCGUUCGCUUUGAAACCAGAUGAACCUCGGCUGUGGCCCCCCAAGUCAUUUCACCUUCAAAGUGCUGGUCUGCUGAACCCUAUGCUGGAGGACACUGGAGAGAACGGCUGUCAGCGGCAGGCCAUAAAAGAGGACAACAAAAUGGAAGACAAAAAACAGGUUCAACCACCUGUCGGCUGCAAAGGUCUCAGUGUAACUUUCAUUGGAGCAAAGCGCCCUUUUUCUGUAAUUAAGUCUUAUUUCGGCUGUCUGGAU